CUCUUAUACAGUUUUAGCUUGUACUAUUUCGAUAUAAUUUGAAGUGGGGGGGGCGAUCGUUUUGCGCAUAGCAAGCUAGCGGCUAAAGGCGUUAGCCUACAUUUUAGCCGUGUUUAUAUUGUGUAUAUAUGUUUAUAUUAUAUUAUUGUCAUCAUUCUUUACUCGUUUUUAACUCUCCACUGCUGCUGCAACAUCGAGAAUUUCCCCAAUGUGGUAAAAAUAAGGCUCAUCUUAUCAUUAUCUUAUCAUUAUCUUUAUUAUUAUCUUAUCAUUAUCUUUAUUAUUAUCUUAUCAUUAUUUUUAUAAUUAUCUUGUCUUAGCUGAUUGUCAUGCUUAGCUCACCUGUGGAGGGGUGUGUGUGUGUGUGUGUAUUGCAGGCGUCCUGUGUGUUGUGUAAUUUUAAUGUUGUCUAAGAGCCAUGUUGUGUGCUGUUGUGUUCAACAGGAUCCCCCUGGCAUUCAGCUGUACGUGGCCGUGAAGACGGUGGUCCUGAACGGCGUGCAGCUGAAUAAGUACAGGUGUCGACGUGGCAGCAACUCGCUGGAGGGGCUGCACGCGCACCUGUACAACGUCAUUCCCUCCAAGAGAUGUGGGAUCAUGCCAUUCCAGGUGUACCUAGUUGCUUUCGCUGUGCAGUGGAACAACCGGAUGGAAUCCCUCCGGGUGGCUGGUGGCCAGGGUCGGAAGACCACCUGCAUGGACCCCCGGCAGAUCCAGCGCAUGAACCGGCAGGCCGAGGUGCUCUUUGGCAAGGAACACGUGCCGGAGGACAACUUCGCCGCUCCUCUGCCCUACCCUGAGCAGUACCGGGACCCGGAUGAGGAGGAGCUCCUUGGUGUGGAGUACGCCCUGUGCCAGUCCACUGCCUUCACUGCAAGGCAGUACUACGCUCAGAAAGCGGAGGAAGAGCAGUCUCGCCAAGAGGAGGAAGAGGAGGAGGAUGAGCUGGCUGAUGAGGGUGUGGCCAUGGAGGAGGAGGAGGACCCCAUAGACGGUGUCUGUGAGCAGCACGUGGUCCUCACCCAGGCAGUGAAGGUGGAGGAGGAGGACAGCCCAGCCCUGCAGGACGUGCUGGUGUCCCAGCGGAAUCUCCAUCUGCCAGGGAUACAGGAAGUGGAGGUCCUGGCCAUGCUGCUGCUGGAGCUGACCGAUGACGCCGACCACCACCACCUCGUGCCGGUCAACCUGAGGCAGAAGAUCCUCACCGCCGCGGGCUGUCUCCACGAGCACGACCGGACUGCCGCCAACUUCGUCAAGAAGUACGAGUCCAGGUGGGGCUACACCCUGUUUGGCCGUUGCCUCGGACCGGACACCCCCGAUAACCGCGCCGCCCAGAAGACCAAGUUUGGCUGGAUGAGGUACCCUCAGGCUGCACAGGUGACAGAGGACAACCGGCUGCUCUACCUCCUCAUUAAGAUGCUGAGGAACCGCCCGCCCUCCAGCCGCCUUGCCUCUCCCAGCAAGGUGGCCGCCUCCAUCAAGGCACAAUAUAAAAGGAUUGUGGAUCGCGUGACAGACGAUCCCGUCCUCUGCGGCCUCUCCAUCCCACUGCCCAACAUCAACAAUAAGUCCAUCUCCAGCUUCUUCUCUCGGGAGGAGAAGGCUGCCAACUACAGAGCUACGGUGCAGCCCAAAGCCAAGCCCCACCGCACCGUGCUGUCUGACCAACCGCUGCCCGACGCUCUUGCGUUGCCGUCGUCGCUGCCAC
rnacentral:lncRNA from 1 species